rnacentral:lncRNA from 13 species
AUGGCUGUCCCCGUGUCCUCAGGUGGGGCUGUCCCCUUAUCCCAAGUGUCUCCCCUUUCCCGGGAUAUGGUUGUCCCUAUGUCCUGGCUCUCCUCAUGUCACCAAGGAUGGCUGUCCCCACAUCCCUGCCACCUCAAGCCCCCUGACUGUGGCUAUCCUCACACCCUGGGGCACAGCUGUCCCCACAUCUCAGCUGUCCCCGUGUCCUGGCCAUCCCCACAUCCCCAGUGUGCCAUCCCAAGGUACCACUGCCCCCCUGCCCUCAGGUGUGGCUGUCCCGCACCCCGGGAUACAGCUGUCCCCGUGUCCCACCACCCCCGCAUUCCCACACUGUCCCCAUCUUCGAUCUAUCCCCGUGUCCCAACCAUCCCCACGGCCAUCCCAGGGUAUCCGCUGUCGCCGUGCCCCGCGGUGUGUCUGUCCCCAUGUCCCACCCAUCCUCAUCUCCGUGUCCCACCGGUCCCCGCAUGUUCCCCCCGCCCCGCCCCGUCCCGCGUGUCCGCCGCGCACAGACCCCGCCGUCCCCUCGCCUCAUCCCAGUCCAAGUUCUCCCCGCCUCGUCCCUGUCCCCACGGCGGGGGAAUGAAGCGGGGCGUCCCCGUUACCGCGAACCUCCCAGCUCCGGUAGCGGUGCUCGGUGCUUCACGCCCAGUCCCGCAGCAACCGGCGUCCUGGCCCCUCCCACGCCCCCGUUCGGGGGCGUGGGAGGGGCCAGGACGCCGGUCCCGCCGCGGUGGUAGCAGCGUAGUGGCCCAGUCCCGCAGCAACCGGCGUCCUGGCCCCUCCCACGCCCCCGAACGGGGGCGUGGGAGGGGCCAGGACGCCGGUUGCUGCGGGACUGGGCCACUACGCUGCUACCACCGCGGCGGGACCCCGGUAAUCCCCCGCCACCCCGGGGCUCAUCCCGGUCCCGCACCGCCUCGACGGCGGGGAGGGACAGUAGCGUGCCAGACUACAACUCCCAUGAUGCCCCAUGGAGCGCCCGUUGCGCGUGCGCAGCCGAGUCCGCUAACGGGUACUACCACUACCGGCAUGCUUUGA